rfam:Pelecanus crispus contig111455, whole genome shotgun sequence.
GCCGGGUUAGCUCAGUUGGUUAGAGCAUGGUGCUAAUAGCGCCAAGUUCACAGGUUCAAUCCCUGCUCACUGCA